UAGGCUUGACAUGCACAGGAAUGUCGUAGAAAUACGGCAGCCCUUCGGGGCCUGUGCACAGGUGGUGCAUGGCUGUCGUCAGCUCGUGCCGUGAGGUGUUGGGUUAAGUCCCGCAACGAGCGCAACCCUCGUCGCUAGUUGAAUCUCUCUAGCGAGACCGCUGCGCGAAACGCAGAGGAAGGUGGGGAUGACGUCCAGGAACACCAAC
rnacentral:misc_RNA from 1 species